ACAAUUUCACACCAAUUUAACAAACUAUACACAAGUAUAAGUGAUGGAAUAAAUUACAGACUCUUUUACAAUUAUGACAACUGGAAAGUUAAACACAAUAGUAAAUAGAGGCUCCAUAAAAGUAUACACAAGAAUAAUUGAUGGAACAAAUUGCAAACUCCUGUACAAUUAUGACUUAUAAUUGUAGCUAUAACUAGAAAGUCAAGCACAAUAGAGGCUACACAAGAAGUAUACACAAGUAUAAUUGAAGGAACAAAUUGCAAACUCCUGUACAAUUAAGAUUUAUAACUGUAACUAUAACUGGAAGGCAAACACAAUAGAGGCUACAUAAGAAGUAUACACAAGUAUAAUUGAAGGAACAAAUUGCAAACUCCUGUACAAUUAAGAUUUAUAAUUGUAACUAUAACUGGAAAGUCAAACACAAUAGAGGCUACACAAGAAGUAUACACAAGUAUAACUGAAGGAACAAAUUGCAAACUCCUGUACAAUUAAGAUUUAUAAUUGUAACUAUAACUGGAAAGUCAAACACAAUAGAGGCUACACAAGAAGUAUACACAAGUAUAACUGAAGGAACAAAUUGCAAACUCCUGUACAAUUAUGCCUCAUAAUUGUAGCUAUAACUAGAAAGUCAAGCACAAUAGAGGCUGCACAAGAAGUAUACACAAGUAUAACUGAAGGAACAAAUUGCAAACUCCUGUACAAUUAUGCCUCAUAAUUGUAGCUAUAACUAGAAAGUCAAGCACAAUAGAGGCUGCACAAGAAGUAUACACAAGUAUAACUGAAGGAACAAAUUGCAAACUCCUGUACAAUUAUGCUUCAUAAUUAUAGCUAUAACUAGAAAGUCAAGCACAAUGGUUCCACAAAUUAAAGAUAGGCUUCCUAGGUUCAUAGAACAGAUCUACAUAAAUGACACACAUUUUCCAAUUCAGUGAUUUUACUAAUUUCAAACUGAUACACUUAAAGAUAUUUUGUACAAUGUCGUAUUUGUUCCGUCAAUUGUAUACUGUUUGUACUGAGCUGUGAUGAAAGAUGGAAGACCUGUAGCAUAUCGGCCGGCAGCGAAAUAACUUCAAAGGAAUCGCUCAUCAACACGACAAAACUGUCGCAGCACUCCCAGGAUGUGGGGCUGCAGGACUCUAAGUCGGAAUCGCUGUAAGAGUCCGCCUUCUCGCCGGCGACAAAGUCCGGCUCCAGGUCCGAACGGGACGAGCAACUUGCCGACUCAAUGGUGAACCUAGAUCACUGUAAUCCCCCUCAACGAGAUUCACGGUCCGUGUAUCAUCGAACGAACUCUUAGGAGUAUAUUCACAUGUUUUCACUUAGGUCACUGUUCACGUUUUAAAUUGUAUGAAAUAUUUCUCGCACCGGUAUUAGGAAGACUUGUUUAUUAAAAACCGACCUUGAGUCGUGUAAUCGCACGAUCACGAAGAAACUAAACGUGGUACCGAGAAGGCUGUGCCACUAGGUGCAACCCCGACUGUGUUCGAUGGACAACUGGAGGCGGGGUGUGUGCUACCCCCAUUGGGCUGGAGAACCAGCCCUCUGGCUGCAACAUCCCCUACCCCUCUUCGCUUGCCAGGAUAGCCAUCGUGUCUCAAGGACAACACCCCUUCGACGGGUGGCUCAAUAAGCUAUGACAUGUAAUUGUACGAAAUUCGACUUGGACGUCAUACGAGUGAACCUUGAUACUCUCAGAAAUCCCUUUCAUGGACCAAGACCAGGGUGGAGCAAUUUCUAACGUGAUGACCUACUAAUCUGAUGUAUAUGAACCUCAAAUGUACUACAUAUCAGUAUGCUGAUCAAAGGGGAAUGAUAGGCAGAUCUUUGAGAUCCUGGACCAAGACAACAUGAUGAUCUAAUCUGACGUAUACCUAAUCUAUGUAUACUACAUAUCAGUGUACUGAUCAAAGAAGAAUGAUAGGCAGAUCGGAAGCAUGGUGUGAUAGACACCCGGUAACGAGGGUUCUGAUAGGAAACGAUCCUGAAAGCAUUCCUUGGAAUUAAGGACGUACACGCCCAUGUCGAAUACAAAAGGUUCACGGAAAGUGGCAUCUGACCAAUUACCUUGAUUGGCUAAAUAGGGUCAAUAUUCAAAGUAUGCUGGAAGAGGGGAAAAAAACGUUAACGAGGCUAAUAGUCUAAUAAACCGACUGAUGAAUUCGAGACACGCACGCUGCUGUCGGCAGUGUGCCAGAGAUUCGAUAAGCUUGUCAUGGUUGCUUAUAAAAAUCCUUUCAAAUUUCUCACUGAUGUGUCCGCUAUUAACAUAAUACUGUUGCCAAUACAUUGCAUUCAGUUUUGAGGUGUAGAAGAUGGUACAUGUAACAAAUUCUUCAUUGAAAAACAGCAGGAUCGACCGAUAACCGAAUGUACGUUCAUCGUGCAGUUGCAAUGCCAGCUUUGAUGGGAUUGGUAUGAUAAUGGAAGCAUAGAUUAACACACGGUGAAGGUCAAACGACCCUCAUUCUCGCACACCCGAGCAACCCUUCCGGCAACCAACCCCUUGUGACAUUUAAUAACCAGUGACACACUCAUGAUAAACUAACGACAAUAAACUAGCAACAAACUUAUACUAGAGAUAAUUAUGGCAACUAAGCUGCAAUUUUUUAUGGAAGAAGAAUCUUCUUUACAGAAGAAGGUGCUUUAUUAAGCAGCCAAGGAAGCAUUCAAUGCGGAAAUUGAAACGAAUAUACGUCAGGAUGUCUUUAUAAUAAGUUUCACCGAAGGCAGCAUCGUUAUCACAGAUUUAUAGCCUUGUAAUAUUCUGGCCCUAAUUACCGUCUGUGAGAAAAAAGAUAGUCAUUGGUAUAAUGAAUAUCCCACAUAAAUCAUGGCGUCACCAGCGAAAUCGCUCACGUGCUAGCCUUUUAACGAGCCUCGUGAAUUCCGUUCAAGGUCGCCUGGCUUCUUUAUUGCAACUAUCUGGAAGGCCUUUCGCCUCGUUACUUUACACGUGAAAUUGGUGCGAUUGUGUCACAGUAACAACAAAGUGACCUAGAGUUUAAUAAUUCUCUUACAAAAUGGACCUGAAGAGGAAAAUCAGAAUUUUUUGGACGUUACAGAUAUUCUACAGAUUCUGAGUUACAUUUUUUAAUUGUCAAUUUCUGUGAAGCUUGUAAUCAGAGUGUUCCCAUCAAACUGAUCAAACGUCUCAAGACCACCUGCUCACGAAGGUGUGUCUAAUAAUAAAUAACCCUCUAAAAAUAAUCCUUACCUCGACGUCAACGGAAUAAUAUCGAGAGAUUAGAUCGACGAUUCUCGCGGUAAUUACUAGGGUUUGUUGGACAAAAUUAAGGUUCAUAACUGCUCUAGCGAGCAUUGCGUGUUCCUGUUCACUAAACCGAGCAGCAUAAUUCGCAUUAACGAGGAAAAAAGAGGAUGAAGAGGAACUCCAUUCAGAGUACGUUUGCAUUGCAAUUUAUCAAACUGUCCCUGUAAAUUACGAUGCAAUUGCUCGCACGUGUAACUGAAUGCAUAUCUUGGUUGCUAGGCCAAGGUCACGGUGCAACAAUCUUCCACUUGGAGGUGCUAGUUCUCAAGAUGAUGAAAUUACUAGAAUGUGAAUGUCAUAAGAAAAAUACCAAGAGGCUGUCAAGAACACUUCAACCUUCAAAUAUUCUCAUGUUAUAUUCCUGAAGAAUUUACAUUUGUAACAUUCUGAAGUGUAAUUGACAAACAAUGCUUGAUAGUAGCCUUUGAAAAUUUUCCACUACAUCAGAAUACAUAAUAAUGUAUGAGUUGAAAUAAUCAUUUAAGGAUUGGAGAGUUUACGCCACCCUAUAAAUUGGAAUAGCGAUACAAAGGGGUGAAUAUCCUUCUUGACCAUUUACCUUGAUGAUAAGAGAACGUAGACGGUCGAAAGGUCGCUUCCCUCUAACUCUUCACCUUUGGAAACAGGUCAUCGACUAAGUAUUUGAUCGUAAUUCGAAACAAGUUCAUCAGCCUUGAAAGAUGUCAUGAAACAAUGACACCCGAAUUUAAAGCAAAAACUGUAUAUUCACAAUUUCCAUAUGCCAUUUGAUGCAUGCAAUUGGUACGAUAAUUGGCCAGUGAUAAGGCCCUAUGAUAAGCUGUUUACGUCGCGAACGUUAAUUCGGCCUGGUCGAUUAACACGAAACAUUUUUUCUUUCCUUCUUUUAUCAACGAUCUCACGUGGCACAUAAGCUUGAUUUUUUGCGACGAUCGCUGGGCUUAUUAUUAGUUUCGUGCUCGGAAGAGGACUCAGAAUACAAUGAUUUGAAAACCAUUAAGAAAUGCAUAAUUCAAACUUAAUUUAACUCAGCCAUUUUGUGACAUGAUUAGGAAAUGAAGAGUGCUCAGAAUGUCAAUACAAUAAUUUACAGACCAUUAGGAAAUGCAUACUUCAAACCUAAUUUACCUGAGCCAUUUUGUAACAUUGGGAAAUGUACAUACACAUACUAAAAAUGUACACAUGUACAACCUUCUACAGGAGGUGCGUGACGAGGGAGAGUGCCACGCAAGGUGUAACACAGGGUAGUUGUCCUGCGAGGGUUCUGCGACAAGCGUGCCACGGGUUAAAAGGCAACGAGUAACACAGAGACGGGGAUGCCGCAGUGAUUUACAUAUCGUCGAUCGGUACACGUCAUCCAACUACGUGGUAUACGCACCAGAAACGAUCGUGGCACGACCGUUUUCUCGAAACGACGGCUAAUCGACCUACCGAAAUUCAUUUCGUUUCGAAUACGUCUCAUGCAUAUUCAGCCCGACAACCGGGGCGAUAAAUGAACAGACCUACGGAUCGCAAUGCGAACACGAAUCUGCGAAUCGCGAUAAAACGGGGAAAGAAAGCGAGGAUAUUAAAUCCAGAUGCCGUAGAUAUACCAGUGCUGAAAUGAUGUAUACUCGUAAUUCAGAGAGCACGAAACAUGUUUCACAGAUCCAAUCACAAUAAUACUAAUGCAUAAUACGUACAAUCGCAAAUGCGUGCUAAACCGUAACGGUGGAAUUGAAAAGAAUUGAAACUCUUCCAUUGGAAUAUUGUGGUAACAACCAGUAAUUGUUAAGCAAUUUAAUAUCAGUAGGAUCAACGUACUGUCAAUUAAACUCGAUUACCGACAGACACGCACUCUUUCGAGCAACAACGUUAGCCAGAAAAAGAUAUCGAAAAAAUUUACGAGCAGACUUGUUUAUCGGUGCAAAUAUUUUUCGUCCACCACCUUACGUGCAAUUAAUCUGCAACCGGGCAUGCAACAUGGUCACCGGUCAAAAAACUGAUAAGAACGGGACAAAAUUUUAAGGUGAACCUUGUCAGAUUAAAACUAAGUAACCUGUAAUAUCCUUGGAACACGUACAAUCGGUAAUGAAGGAUCAUUUAAAGAUAAAGACUAUAGAUGACAGAAAAUAUAACCUCUUCGCAUAGACAUGAAGUAUUGAGAUGAGUGUAAAGCAAAAUAUACCUAUGGGACUUUGGAAUUUCGUGACGCAUCUAGGGCAGAUACAAAACUCUGUCUCCUUCGUGACUCCGGUGGCUGACACGAAUUUCAAGUUGACCAGCGAUUAGUUCUUUCUAGACCGCGUUAUCCUCUUAUGAAUUUACGUGGCGACCGGGUGAAAUGUUCUGAAAGAAAGGAGGACUCGUUAUCGCCGGCUUACACCGCGAUAUGAAAAUGAAGAACGAGCAUGUAACGUGCGUGACGGAUCGUCCUGUGAAAUGUGUCGCGCCGAUUACAAAAGAAACAAUCGUGGCUAUUCACGCGGCAGACCUCAAUGGCUAAUUUGUUCACGUCGUGAAACGAUAAAGAAAUGUCACAAAAUAUUGGGAAUAUUAUUUUGCUGAAAAGGUGAUCGGGUAAAGAAACCUGAUGCGUCAUUUCGGCAAUUUAUGACCCGUUUGCUGCAAUCAGAACAAUCCUACAGCGGGAAUAAUUAAUGACAUGUUGAAUUCUAAAUUUAAAUUUGAUGAUACACUGUUCAUUGAGAAGGUCAUGUUUCAAGCUGAGCAGAAAAAGCUGACAUGAAGCGAGCGAUCAAAUUCGCGGAGACAUCAAUGCCCGACUUGUCAUCGACCUGUGUCACUGUUGCGCGUAGUACACGCGUUUCUUUUGACGUGAUCUAAAUCAGGGAUCCGUCGACGAUGAUGAACGUCUUGAAUUUCGUCGUGGAGUUUCUACAGAAGGAAUAGAAACGGUUUGUGAAUCGUCCGUAUGGAGAAGUUCGUGUUUAUUGAUCCCUUGCGGGCUGACCAACGGUCAAUGAGAUACGGUCUCUCCCUUGGUAGCCGCCCUACGCCUCGGAGGCCCUGCAUCGGUCUCCUUAGCGGAACCGACCCACCGCCCACCCUACAACACGUGAUUCAUAUCUUCGAGUCGUGGAAAAUUAGCGACAAAAAUGAUUUCGGAGAAUCUGGAUUGGGUUAUUUCGUACUGACUCAACUUUGAAUUUAUAAUUACUCUUGAUUUCAAGUGAAAUGUUAUAGCUUCACAUGCUAGAUUGUUAGAAUUGUAUGAGAAAAUAUUCUAGUUAAAAUACUCAAGGCAACAUGUCCUUAUAAAGAGGCUACAAGUAUAAAGUACAACCAUAAUAUUUCAGCAGCAAGUAGUCAUUAAAUGGUGUUAAAUUGUUGCAUAUAAAAUGACUCAUAUAAUAACAUAAAAUGUGAAGGUACGCUUUUGAUGUCACAUGAAAUUCUGUUAUAGCUUGACAUGCUAAGAUUGUCAGAACUGUAAUAUAUGAGAAAAUAUUCUAGUUAAAAUACUCAAGGCAACAUGUCCUUAUAAAGAGGCUACAAGUAUAAAGUACAACCAUAGUAUUUCAGCAGCAAGUAGUCAUUAAAUUGUACUAGAUUGUUGCAUAUGAGAUGACUCAUAUAAUAAUAUAAAAUGUAAAGGUACACUUUUGAUUUCAUGUAAAAAGCUGUUAUAGCUUGACAUGCUAAGAUUGUCAGAACUGUAAUAUAUGAGAAAAUAAUCUAGUUAAAAUAUUCAAGGCAACAUGUCCUUAUAAGGAGGCUACAAGUAUAAAGUACAACCAUAGUAUUUCAGCAGCAAGUAGUCAUUAAAUGGUGUUAGAUUGUUGCAUAUGAAAUGACUCAUAAUAAUAUAAAGUGCAACACGACAAAGACAAGUUUCCUCCGAGGGACAAAGAAAUGUAGGUAGGCCGUAAAUAGGUGAAGAAACAGCACAAUCAGAGGCCACUUAAUGACACAGUGUUUAUCGCGAUGGUAGAAAUGGAUUGAUCGUUACUAUGAAGGAGGUGAAAGUAUGUGGACGGCUGGAACGUAUGCAGGAUAAUAAGACGGUUGUUAAGUAAAAUAGGAUAGUGUACCAUUUCCCAGCAGGACUGGAUCAGGUAGGAGAAGAAGAAUCGAAAACAGGGAGAAAGGAAGCGAUCGCUGCGCAACCGCAGACUCAGUUGUCCAGCCCUUUUCACCCCUCUUACAGACCAACCCUAUGGCAAUACUUGCUCCCACUUUUCGCAUCCCUACCACCAAACCGCAGAUUCACCUAUAUGAGUCGAUCUUCCGUGCCACGUGGCUUUGGUAAACAAUGCUGGAAUCACCUGAUACUGGCAACUGCAGGGAAGAAGUUUUCAUGAAGUUAUCAAUACAGGAAGAACUUCGCUACUCUAAUUCUUAAGGAUUCUGAAUACAUAUCUACCCUUGAGGGACACAAACUAUACUCAGCAUACAGGAUAUGAAGGAAUCACGAUUUCAUAAUCCAGCGUAAUCGACACGUAAAGUCUAUAUAGAACAAUAGGUGUAUAAGCUUUGGCCACUUUACCGGAUUAACGGUUGACCCGGCACGAGAGCCGAUCGAAAUAACGUAUCGUACGUACAUAAAGCCAGGCAGAAACGACGACGAUAUACGUUUAACGAGCGGCUUGGUCACACCUUAAAACCUAGAAAUCAGGUUGGGCGUGGGCCACCGUGCUAUGACGCAACGCAGGUGAAACCAAUCCUUCCUAUCAGCACUUUCAUAAAAAUAAUGAAUAUCCUGUGGCCUUACGGUUGAAUCGGCCUGAAAGGUUUCGCCGGUUAAUUGGCCCAUUUUUCACUGAAUCCUCCAUUGGCCUUACUUUUGAUUCACGAUACCAAAACCUGUCGUAGGCGAUUUAUCGCCUUCUUUCUUUAGAUCUUGUCACCUGAGUUCGACAAUCACGCUAUGCCAUGAUGCAUUGCUUCUAAAAAUGUCGACAUGAAGAAAAAUAUUGGUUAGAGAUUUUCUGAACGUUCAGUACUUUCUGAUGGAUUCAACAAGUCUCUCUAUUCAAUCUUUACAAUAUUGUAUUCAAUCUUUAUAAUUAAUAGUAGCAUCUUUGGAAGGUUGGGUAAUCUACUUCUUGAGGAUUUGAAUACUCUUUUUGGAAAUACCAUUGACUAGCUAGAUCUUAUGGUGUAAGUCCUAGCUAGCUCAUCUAAUUCUUGAAGACCCUCCUGACAGUAAUCAGGCAGAUUGGCGUUGCGUGCGGCCUGCUUAAAUGUUGAUCUGGGCCAGAUACACAAACGUCGUCGACGGCAAAUAUACGCAGUUUUCUUAUAAAUUGCCAUAUCGCAAGGCUGUUAAACUGUGUACGUGUAGUUAGUACGCGUGGCAAUGUUCGGGCACGCAUUUGUGGGAGUCCGUUGUUUUACGUCCACCGGUGGCUCAUGAAUAUUAAGAGUGUAUACAGCCGACUUCUCGGUUUAAUUAUACGAACGAUUAGAGGCAACAGCUACCAAGAGAAUAUUUACUUUUCGCCAUACAAGUCCUUGCACGUGCUGAAUUAUCGCACUCGUAAUGAGAUUGGUUCUCUCGCUCCCGGUGGAGGGGUUGCGUUACCCGAACCGAGAUUCGAUCUACACACACACGCGAUCUUGUGUCUCAAGAGCCUUAUUUCUUCUUCGUGCAAUGUAUCAGAUCGAACGACCCACUUUUCCACAGCGAUUAAGACCCUUUUUUUAUUCCAAGCGAUCUUAAAGGGGCGUAUACUUUACAAUGCGAUCGAAAUGUUGUAUUUCUCGUGGCUUCCGUCACUGACAGGUAACGAGUCUUUGU
rnacentral:lncRNA from 1 species